UUUUUGGCUAUGACGAAAAGCAGUAAAAACAAAGUUCUUUUCAGAAAGCAGAUGGUUGAUGUGAAUUUGCAUGAAUUUGUUUUGAAUCCGUUUCCGAGCUGAUUUGAAGAAAAAUUUUUUGAGAGAAUUUCUUUCACUGUGUAGGAGUUGUAUCUGUCGAAGACGUUCUCACAAUAUCAAUGUUGUAUUGGAUGUUGUGUAUUUCAUGAAAGUCAGGUCGAUUUGAUAAAAACUGCUCCCUCUCAAAAAUAAAGUAUUUAAGUCCGGAUAAUCUCGUUAUCGAUUUUGAGCGAACGGUUUUUGCCGUUAAGUCGGGUGGCACCGCGGAGUUGUAUCUUCGUCCCUUUC
rnacentral:ncRNA from 1 species